CCUACGGGUGGCAGCAGUGGGGAAUAUUGGGCCAUGGAGGCAACUCUGACCCAGCAACGCCGCGUGAAUGAUGAAUGUCUUCGGAUUGUAAAGUUCUGUGGUGGGGGAUGAACACAAUGACGGUACCCCAAUAGCAUGCCACGGCUAACUACGUGAAAGCAGCCGCGGUAAUACGUAGGUGGCAAGCGUUAUCCGGAAUGACUGGGUGUAAAGGGUGCGUAGGGGGUUUAGUACGAUGGCGGUAUAAUUACGGGCCUCAACCGCGGCGCUACCGCCAAAACUAUUAGACUAGAGUGCAGGAAGGGUAAGUGGAAUUCCUAUUGUAGCGGUGGAAUGCGUAGAUAUUAGGAGGAACAUCAGGGGCAAGGGCGACUUACGGGACUGUAACUGACACUGAGGCACGAAAGCGUGGGGAGCAAACAGGAUUAGAUACCCUGUAGUC
rnacentral:rRNA from 1 species